rnacentral:tRNA from 1 species
UACCAUAUAGUUUAAAUACUUACUAAAACAUUAAUCUUGUAAAUUAAAGUUAAAUCACACGAUUUUAUGGUAA